rnacentral:rRNA from 1 species
GACGAACGCUGGCGGCGUGCUUAACACAUGCAAGUCGAACGGAAAGGCCUCUUUCGGGGGGUACUCGCGUGGCGAACGGGUGAGUAACACGUGAGUAACCUGCCCUUGACUUUGGGAUAACUUCAGUAAACUGGGGCUAAUACCGGAUAGGAGCUCCUGCUGCAUGGUGGGGGUUGGAAAGUUUCGGCGGUUGGGGAUGGACUCGCGGCUUAUCAGCUUGUUGGUGGGGUAGUGGCUUACCAAGGCUUUGACGGGUAGCCGGCCUGAGAGGGUGACCGGCCACAUUGGGACUGAGAUACGGCCCAGACUCCUACGGGAGGCAGCAGUGGGGAAUAUUGCACAAUGGGUGGAAGCCUGAUGCAGCAACGCCGUGUGCGGGAUGACGGCCUUCGGGUUGUAAACCGCUUGCGCUCAUGACGAAGCUUUGUGUGACGGUAGUGGGUAAAGAAGCACCGGCUAACUACGUG